ACAAACAGAAAAAGCCGCUGGUGGCGUGACGUCAUCGUAUAGACCGGGGCGUGGUCUAAGGCGGAAGUGUUUGUUCUUGUGGAGCAGAGGUAUAUGCUUUGGAAUAGGAGCAUGAUCUUCGUACCCCCAUAGAUCCACCGGGGAUCCCUUUCUUGGAUCUCUGGGGGGGCAAGUGAAGAAAAAGCCUGGAUUUGGUAAGGGGACUGGAAACAAGAUGGUGUGUGAAUUCUUUCUGCUGUCCUCCAUCUGGUUUGUUGUGGUCAUAUUUUGGCUGGAGACGAUCAGUAUGUGGCUGUUCCUGUGCCAUUUAUUCCAAGAUCGAGCAAUGUAUCAGUGGGGAGAAAGGAUUUACAUCACCCAUCCUGACCAGAUCAUGUACAUAAUGAUUACAUUUAACUCUUCGAGGUAGCCCUAUACUUCACUGGUGCCGACUGAUUAUUUUCAAAAUACUUGAAGAUCAGGACAGUGGACUGAUAUUGGAUAAAGGAAAGAAACGGAUGAUGUGCCAAUAUAAAAACAUAGUAUUUUCUAAAUCUUUUUAAUGACGUUAUAAAAGUAAAUUUGGAUGAGGUAUGCAAGACAUCCCUGACCGGUUGGGAAGAUACUGUUCUGCCUGCGAAAUUCUGUUUUAUAUCUUGGGAAGACUUCUGAAUGGUCAGAAAGCCCAAGAACUGCUGCUGGUGAAUCAGGAGAAGUCUGGAACCCAAUGAACUUCAGCUUUAAAUGGCCGUGCUUAUGCUUUAGUUGCACGACUUGGACUCCCACCACUGUUAGUGACAUGUCCUGUCAUUAACAGAAGCCUUAAAAUGUCGCUGGCAUAUUCUGACUGCCAUAUUGAAUCUCUGGAUGUGAUGGCUGGAAUGGAACCCUGGAAUCUGCCUUGCUGGAUAUCAAUCAAUCCUAUAUAUAUUCAAGUUUUUAUUACCCCGUGCCAUGUGUCAUUGUUUUAAACCAUUUAACGUUUUUAAGUGUGAAUAUAUUUUAAAAAUAAAUUGUAUUUUCAUUUAA